CACACUAAAAAAAACACACAAAAUUAUAAAAUUGAAAACAAACAUAACAAAAUAAAACAAUGAGAAAAUGAUAUUAAUCUUUAGGAUCAUGUAAAGUAAUGGACUCUUCUAAUCUAGAGAAAUUCUCAAAAAAUGGUUUCAAACGUUGUCCAUUAACUUUAAAAAUAUUUCCAUUACUUGGAUUUUCAAUUUCUACAGCUCCAUGUGGGUAAACAGUUUUAACAAUGAAAGGACCAGUCCACUUGGAGCGUAAUUUUCCAGGAAAUAAAUGUAACCUUGAGUUGUACAAAAGAACUUUUUGGGAAGGCUCAAAAGUUUUUCUAACAAUGUUUUUAUUAUGGAAUACCUUCAUUCUUUCCUUAUAAAUUCGAGAGUUCUGAUAAGCUUCAUUCCUGAUUUCUUCCAACUCAUUCAAUUGAAGUUUUCUAAGUGAACCUGCCUCAUCUAAACCAAAAUUAAACAUUUUAAUAGCCCAAAAUGCUUUGUGUUCCAAUUCAACAGGUAAAUGACAAGGCUUUCCAAAAACAAGUCGAUAAGGUGACAUACCAAGGGGUGUUUUGAAAGCUGUACGAUAAGCCCAAAGAGCAUCAGUUAAUCGUAAAGACCAAUCUUUUCUAUUUGGAUUCACUGUUUUUUCCAAAAUGCAUUUAAUCUCUCUAUUUGCAAGUUCAGCUUGACCACUAGUGUUUGGGUGAUACGGAGUAGACACUUUAUGAGUAAG
rnacentral:lncRNA from 1 species